rnacentral:rRNA from 1 species
AACGAACGCUGGCGGCAUGCCUAAUACAUGCAAGUCGAACGGUAGCCGUCCCUUCGGGGACGGUGAAAGUGGCGCACGGGUGAGUAACGCGUGGGAACCUGCCCUGUGGUAGGGGAUAACCGCGGGAAACUGCGGCUAAUACCCUAUGUGUCCUAUGGGAGAAAGAUUUAUCGCCAUAGGAGGGGCCCGCGUCGGAUUAGGUAGUUGGUGGGGUAACGGCCCACCAAGCCUACGAUCCGUAGCUGGUCUGAGAGGAUGAUCAGCCACACUGGGACUGAGACACGGCCCAGACUCCUACGGGAGGCAGCAGUAGGGAAUAUUGGACAAUGGGCGCAAGCCUGAUCCAGCAAUGCCGCGUGAGUGAAGAAGGCCCUAGGGUUGUAAAGCUCUUUCGGCGGGGACGAUGAUGACGGUACCCGCAGAAGAAGCCCCGGCUAACUCCGUGCCAGCAGCCGCGGUAAUACGGAGGGGGCAAGCGUUGUUCGGAGUCACUGGGCGUAAAGGGCGCGUAGGCGGUGC